rnacentral:rRNA from 1 species
GACGAACGCUGGCGGCGUGCCUAAUACAUGCAAGUCGAACGCUGAAGCGAGGAGCUUGCUCUUCUUGGAUUAGCUGCGAACGGGUGAGUAACGCGUAGGUAACCUGCCUUUUAGCGGGGGAUAACUAUUGGAAACGAUAGCUAAUACCGCAUAACAAUUGAUGCCACAUGUCACAUUAUUGAAAGGGGCAAUUGCUCCACUACAAGAUUGACUUGCGUUGUAUUAGCUAGUAUGUGAGGUAAUAGCUCACCUAGGCCACGAUACAUAGCCGACCUGAGAGGGUGGACGGGCAAACUGGGACUGGGACACCGGCCCGGAUCCCUCGGGGGGGAGGAGGAGGGGAUCUUUGGCAAAGGGGGGAAAGCUGGACGAAGAAAGGCGGGUGAGUGGAGGAGGGUCUCGGAUCGUAAAGCUCUGUUGUAAGUGAAGAACGGGUGUGAGAGUGAAACGUUCACGCUGUGACGGUAGCUAACCAGAAAGGGACGGCUAACUACGUG